UCAGACAACUUAACUGACUGAGCCAUCCAGGUGCCCCUCAAGGGAUGCUGAAGCCCAGGGAGGCAGGGGCCUAGCAGAAGCCUUCAGGGCGCAAAGACAGAGGACACGCCACUGGGCCGGAUGCCAGGGACCAAGCGCUAAGAAGAAGAAACUGACUUGCAUGAAAUCCUGAGCUGAAGAACCAGAAUGAAGAGUAGAGAAUGCAGUCUCCUGUGGGGAUGCCCAGGCCGCCUGUCCUCAACAGCUCCAGCCCAGGGACCGCACCAGAAGAGGCAGGGACAUCAGGCGGUGUCCUCGGAACUGGGAGGUCCCUGUCAAGGGCAAGUUCCUCUGAAGCACCCUGACCCCUCCAGCCUGGGCGGGGUUCGAUGGGACUCAGAGCGGAGAGAGGAU